GAUGAACGCUGGCGGCGUGCCUAAUACAUGCAAGUCGAGCGAACAGACGAGGAGCUUGCUCCUCUGACGUUAGCGGCGGACGGGUGAGUAACACGUGUAUAACCUACCUAUAAUACUGGGAUAACUUCGGGAAACCGGAUCUAAUACCGGAUAAUAUAUUGAACCGCAUGGUUCAAUAGUUAAAGACGGUUUUUCUUUCACUUAUAGAUUGAUCCGCGCCGCAUUAGCUAGUUGGUAAGGUAACGGCUUACCAAGGCAACGAUGCGUAGCCGACCUGAGAGGGUGAUCGGCCACACGGGAACUGAGACACGGUCAAGACGACUACGGGAGGCAGCAGUAGGGAAUCUUACGCAAUGGGCGAAAGCAUGACGGAGCAACGCCGAGUGAGUGAUGAAGGUCUUCGGAUCGUAAAACUCUGUUAUUAGGGAAGAACAAAUGUGUAAGUAAAUAUGCACGUCUUGACGGUACCUAAUCAGAAAGCCACGGCUAACUACGUG
rnacentral:rRNA from 1 species